AAACAUAUAUGUCCGAAAUUAAUCCCCCCAGUCCAAACCCCCUCAGUUCCCAUCUCCCUUUCUAAACAACAUAACCCUAGCCGCUCUCGUGUUCUCCACUGUCUUCGCUGCCAACCACCUGCCGAAAUCGCCCAUGGCGGCGGCAACACCCCAAGCACCUCUAGGUUAACACCAUGUGAUCUCUUUACCCUCCUCUUUCCAAUAUCCUAUUCUUCUUCCCAAAAUGCCCCUCAAACCUCUCAAAUAUUGAAUCUAAACUCAGAAUCUCCAAAACCCUCACCCACUUAAAUGACCGCUAACUCACACCAUGCUAUCCCUCACUCUUUUUCUCGCCAAAUAUCCCCUUGUUUCCUCUCGAAUCACUAUCAAUUCUGUCCAACUUUUAAUCCACUAUUCCAAAAAACCUAGCCUCCUUUACCCUUUUUUUAUUCGGUCAAUACUUGGGAGUUUGUGAACCCAAACACCCAUUAGUUGAUUGUUCUUGCCAAGAACAACCAAUUAAUGGCUGCAUAAGUUCACGAGUGUUUUGUUCGGGAUAUUUCAACAGCUAGUCCUGUCCAAAAAUUGCUUUAGGUAAUUCCUUUUUCCUUUUGUUUUUUUCUUUCUAUUCUAUUUUUCUACUCUCUUUUUCCCACUUGUUUCAUUGGACAUAUGAGAUUUAGAUAAGGGAUAAUGUUCCUUUGAAUUGGUAUCGAUAGCUUGUUCUUAUAAAUUGCUGAAUCUAGUAAUUUGUUAAGUAUGGUUGUGAUUUAGGUUGAUUUUAUUGGCGUGAUUGCUCUGACUUGUUUCUAUUUUUGCAUGGAUUUUCCCUCUAGUAUUCUAUGUCUUAGUUGCAACUUCAGUUAGUUUCAAUUAGAUUUCCAAAUGCUAGUUGAUUAAGUUGUUUCGAUUUUUUUAAAAAAUUUAGUCUAAUUUCUAGGGUUUCUUCAUAGUUUUCUUUUAAUUUUUAUUUUGUUAGUUGUUCAAAUGCCAGGUGUUUAAAUUCAGUAGGAUCUUACUAAUAAGGUUAAUUCUUGAAUUGCAUAAGCUAUUUUAUUUUAUUUUGUUGGCACCAUUUUGCAUUUUUGAUUUGUUUUGAUUGUGUUUGCCUUAGAGUGCCAAACAAUAGAAACUUGGGAGGGGUUAAUGGAACAACUAAAAAACUUAAGGGGGGAUAAUUUGGGAGUUUAGAAAUGGGAUGAAGUAUCUAGAAUAUUCUAGAAUAGGGGCAGCUGGCCUUAUUUGGCUAGCACAAAAUGCUGAAACUAAUUAGAUGUUGAUGAUUUAUGUAUUGGAUUGUGUCUCCCUUAUGGUAGUUAUUUAUGGCAGUUACUGUAUGAUAUUAUUGCAGCAGAUCUCCCAAUAAAUUAGAACAAGCUAAGUUAUAACCGACAGACUUAUAGCAGUAUUACUCUUAGUUUAAGAAAAACUGUAUGAUAUUAUUGCAUGCUAUUUUAUUUAUGGUUCUUAUAUUUAGAUAAUCAUUUACGCUAUUUCUGCUGGAGUUACUAAUGAUCUUUUUUUUUUGUUUUUGUUUUUCCUUUCCUUCACUGAGCCGAGGGUCGAUUGGAAACAACCUCUCUACCCUUUCGGGUAGGGAUAAGGCGCGUCUACAUAUUACCCUCUCCAGACCCCAAUUUGUGGGACUAUACUGGGUAGUUUUGUUGUUGUUAAUUAGAGGUUGAAAACUAUCCCAUUCUUUUGAAAAAGAUGUUGUGUGAGGGAAUAAUUUUUAUUCUGUUUCUGCAUCACAUGGCAUCCAAAAGGGGCUAUAUAUAGACCCUUCUUUCACUUAAAAAAUCAGACAUUCAUACCCUAAAAACACUCGAAAGUUUCUGCAUCAUUUGGCUAAAAAUUGGUUGGAAUUACUUUUGAUUUUCACGGUUAGAAGAACUUAUAACUUUCAAAAGAAUUUUUGGUUUGUUCGGGUUGUUUCAUCACUGAUCCCUGUUGCUGGGUUUUUCUUUAUAUUGUGUUGGCUAUUUUUUUUUUCUGUUGUUGCUCUUUCAAGAUUCUCUUUCUAGUCUAGUGCAAUGGUUUUUCUUUCUUUAUGAAAUGGAAUGAUUAUUCAAGGGUUGGAUUUCAUGCAUGUGAAUAUUGGUAAGCUAGUAUGAAUCUGAUUCAAAUCUUUGUUUGAAAGUCAGUGUGAUUCUUGUUAUAUAAGUUGAUAAUCGUCUGUGACCUCUUUUCUUCCUACAUGUUUGAAUUUAAAAUUUACCUUCAAGCUUUGUAUUAUAAUGUGGAAGUUCAACAUGCUUAAAGUAGGCUACAAGGAUCCAUGUGAAGGCUGAAACUUAUAUUUUCCCAUUUUAUGUUUGUUUUUCUUUGGUAAAUUAACUAAGGGAACCUGCGAGGUAGUAUAAAGGGGAUCUGGAUAUUUUGCUUAAGCUUCUCCUUGUGUGUUGUCACCAAUGAAGGGUGGUAAUGAUACUAACUUUGUUUUUGUUGGUCUGCUGCCAUAAUGGAUCAAAUUCAGAUUUGCAAGUUAGAUUUAUAGCUAGGCUUGCAAAUCUCACCAAUGUUUUGAGGCACAAGGAGAAAGUAUGUUGUAUUAGCAAAGGAAAGGAUGGAUCAUUUUCUGGAGCUUUCUUUCAGUGAGUAGUCAAAUUAUUUAGUUAUUUCGAUGAAAGAUUGUAUAAAUUUAUUUUUGUUAUGAAAUAAUAUAAAAGACAAGAACAAUAUAGAGAGAAUAGGGAGAGAGAGG
rnacentral:lncRNA from 1 species